GACGAACCGUCCGAACGUUAUUCGGAAUCACUGGGCUUACAGAGUUCGUAGGCGGUCCGGUAAGUUAGAUGUGAAAUCCCUUGGCUUAACCAAGGAACUGCGUUUGAAACUACCGGACUCGAGGGAGAUAGAGGAAAGCGGAACUGAUGGUGGAGCGGUGAAAUGCGUUGAUAUCAUCAGGAACACCGGUGGCGAAGGCGGCUUUCUGGGUCUCUUCUGACGCUGAGGAACGAAAGCUAGGGGAGCGAAC
rnacentral:rRNA from 1 species